rnacentral:lncRNA from 1 species
GCGGCGAGAACGGCCCCGCGAUUGGCCACACGCGUUCCCUAGCCUGAGCGCCAGGGCUCCUCCCAAUUCGCUGCUGGCUUGGCUCCGCCCCACGAGGGCGGGCCCCGGGGCCUGCUGGGACUUGUAGUCCCGCUGGCCCAUCCACCGCCUCUUGGGAGCCUGCGGGGCCGGGGCGGGGCCCCGGGUGGGGAGAUGGGCCGGGCUAGGCUGGGAGGAGAACGCGCGGUGCUGGGGGUUGUGGCCUGAUCGCUUGAGGGGCUGGACAGAUUGCCACUCGGGGAGUUGGGGGAGGGGCGGGUAGGAUUAGCCCAACUGGCUGUAACGCAGCUUUGGGACCUGGAGUACCCUUGCUCCUUCCCUUGGGAGAAACGGACGUCUGCAUCUCGGCCGCACCGAAUCCGAUUGCUUAGACAGUCUCCUUAAGCAGCAGUGUCUGGCAGGCCGCUUUCCUUUAGCACGUGGAGCCUCUCUCCUCCCUGGACUCUCCCCACUGGGCCGAUGAGGCAAGGCUGAGCCGAGGCUAACAGAGCAUACUUCCCAGUGUGGGAUAAGGCAGGGGCCGCGGUAAGCAAGUGGGGCUAGGAGGGUGCAGGCACAGCGCUGUCCGUCCCACUCACCUGCUCGCCUCAGCACGGAUCAGGGCGGAGCUAGGAAUUCAAUGCGAGAUUCCAGCGAAGGGCUGGAGCCAUCCCAGACAGUCUCUUGUUCCCACCAACCACAGGCUUAGACACUGGAAUGAAUGAACUGCUGUCUCCCCCUUCUCCAUUACCUGAGACAGAUCGAAUUUUCCAAACCAAAAACUGGGACAUCCAAUCUGACAGGUGCUGGUGAACUUGUGGGGCAGAAUAUGUGAAAUCAGUCCUGGAAAUCAGGACAUGUAUUUACCACUCUGACAUGCUGCAGCCUCCCUCCCUACCUGCACCCCAACCCUGUAGGUCCGGAGCUGCUCCCUAAGCCUAACAGCUGUCUAGCUCCAGGAAGGAGGCCAAAAGCGUCCACUGACCGACUCAGGUGAAGAGGUCAGCCCAGAAUGCAGGGAAGCAGCAGGCCUGUCCCCCUGCCAAGCACUUUGGGUCAUACUCACACUGCAACAGUGUUGCGACAUUUGCAGACAAAAUCUUCUCCAAGACCCCCUCCCCCAAUCCUGUUGCUGCCAGGAGUAAGGUAACUGAACUUGCUACCCAUGCCUGAAUCAAGUGUUCCCUGAUGAUGUCACUUUCUGGUCCCUUCCCUCCCAUUCAUCUUUUUGAAAUAGCAGUUCCUUAUCACCUCUCUUCUCUUGUCCUAAAAUGGGGGUGGCCAGUCUUGGUGGCUCACACCUGUAAUCCCAGCACUUUGGAAGGCCAAGGUGGGGGAUCACUUGAGGUCAGGAGUUCAAGACCAACAAGGCAAAACCCCAUCUCUACAAAAAAUACAAAAAUUAGCCAGGCAUGGUGGCACACGCCUAUAAAUCCCAGCUACUCUUGAGGUUGAGGCAUGAGAAUCGCUUAAACCCGGGAGGUGGAGGUUGCAGUGAGGUGAGAUUGCACCACUGCACUCCAACCUGGGUGACAGAGAAGGAUUCUAUCUCAAAAAAAAAAAAAAAAAAAAAAAGAUACACUCCAGGCAAGGCAUGCUGUCUCAUGCCUGUAAUCCCAGAAUUUUGGAAGGCCAAGUCAGGCAGAUUGCUAGAGCCCAGAAGUUCAAGUACAGCCUGGGUAACAUGGUAAGAGCCCCCACCACCACCAUCAAAUCUCUACAAAAAAUAAAAAGACCGGGCGUGGUGAUUCACAUGCCUGUAAUCCCAGCAAUUUGGGAGGCCUAGGUGGGUAGAUCACCUGAGUUCGAGGUCAAGCGUUCCAGACCAGCCUGGCCAACAGGUGAAACCCUGUUUCUACUAAAAAUACAAAAAAUUAGCUGGGCGUGGUGGCAGGUGCCUGUAAUCCCAGCUACUCAGGAGGCUGAGUCAGGAGAAUCGCUUGAACCCAGGAGGCGGAGGCAGGAGAAUCGCUUGAACCCAGGAGGCGGAGGCAGGAGAAUCGCUUGAACCCAGGAGGCGGAGGUUGCAGUGAGCCGAGAUCGCACCAGUGCACUCUAGCGGGGGCAACAAGACCAAAACUCCAUCUCAAAGCAAAAAAAAAAAAAAAAUUUAGCUGGGCACUGUAUCGGGUGCCUGUAAUCUCAGCUACCUGGGAGGCUGAGGCAGGAGAAUUGCUUGAACCCAGGAGGCAGAGGUUGCAGUGAGCAGAGAUCGUGCCAUUGCACUCCAGCCUGGGCCACAGAGUGAGACUCCGUCUCAAAACAAAACAAAACAAAACAAAAAAAUAAACAAAAAUUAGCAGGGCAUGGUGGUGCACACCUGUAGUCCCAGCUACUUGGGAGACCGAGGUGGAAGGAUCACUUGAGUCCAGGAGAUCAAGGCUGCAGUGAGCUGAGAUUGUGCACUCCAGCCUGGGCGACAGGGUGUGACCCUGUCUCAGAAAAAAAAAAAAAAAACAAAAAAGAAAAAAAGGAAAAGAAAAGAAAGAAGGAAGGAAGGAAAUACUCCUGGGAGGCCAGGUGCAUAGGCUCAGGCCUGUAAUCCCAUCACUUUGAGAGGCCAAGGAGGGCUUGAGCCCAGGAGUUCCAACCCAGCCUUGGCAAUACAGUGAGUCUAUGUCACUACAAAAAAUAAAAAAUUAGCUGGGCAGCUGGGCAUGCUGGCUCACGCCUAUAAUCCGAGCACUUUGGUAGGCCAAGGUGGGAAAAUCACUUGCGUCCAGGAGUUCAAAACCAGCCUGGGCAACAUAGUGAGUCACUGUCUCAAAAAAAAAAAAUUAGCUAGGCAUGGUGGCACACACCUGUAGUCCAAGCUACUCAGGAGGCAGAGGUGGGAGAAUCACUUGAGCCCAGGAGGUCAAAGACGCAGUGAGCUGGGUGGGCACGGUGGCUCGAGCCUGUAAUCCCAGCACUUUGGGAGGCUGAGGCAGGCAGAUCACUUGAGGCCAGGAGUUCGAGACCAGCCUGGCCAACAUGGCAAAACCCAUCUCUACUAAAAAUACAAAAAAUUAGCUGGAUGUGGUGGCACAUGCCUGUAAUCCCAGUUACUCGGGAGGCUGGCUGGGUGCAGUGGCUCACGCCUAUAAUCCCAACACUUGGGGAGGCCGAGGCGGGCGGAUCACAAGGUCAGGAGAUUGAGACUAUCCUGGCUAACAAAGUGAAACCCAAGCUCUACUAAAAAUACAAAAAAAAUAGCCGGGCAUGGUGGCACGUGCCUGUAGUCCCAGCUACUCAGGAGGCUGAGGCAGGAGAAUCGUUUGAACCCAGGAGGCGGAGGUUGCAGUGAGCCGAGAUCACGCCACUGCACUCCAGGCUGGGUGACAGAGCGAGACAAAAAAAAAAAAAAAAAAAAAAGAUGCAGUCAGCCGUGACUGCACCACUGAACAUCAGCCUGGGUGACAGAGUGAGACCCUGUAUGAGAAAAAAAAAAAGAAAGACAAAUACACUCCUGGGGAAAUGGUCAUCCAGGCGGGACAUAAAAUAUAAUAAACUCUUUGAAGGUCAAUUUGGUAAUAUCAGUAAACAUUUUAAAUUCACUUGCCCUUUGGUCCAGUAAUUCCACUUCUAAUAAUUUAUCCUUCAGAUAUACUUGCGUAUGUGCAUGACGAAGAUAGGGAUCUUUGUCUAUUUUCUUCAUUGCUGUAUUUCUAGCAGUUUAAAUAGGGACUGGUUACACAGUAAGUACUCAAUAAAUGUUUGCUGAAUGAUUGUCCUCCAUUUAGGUGUUGCUAGGCCUAAGUUUGACUAUUCCUGGGCAGGAACAACAAAAAAUAACUGUCCAGAGAGUGAGGGGGAAGAGGUGCUGGCCAGAGGGCCCAUGAGCCAGCCACUGAGGUUUUCCAGUUCACUCAGUGGUCUCAUACCAAGUUUCUGCCCCCAACGCCCAGCCUCCUCAAGUAAGACUCUCUCAUUACCCCACCAUGCACCCACAGAGGUUCAUCUGCCUUGAAUUAAUCAAUCUAGAACCCAUCUUCUCAUCAUUCUAUUUUCUAACUUAAAAGCUCUAAACCAGGCUGGGUGCAGUGGCUCACGCCUGUAAUCCCAACACUUUGGGAGGCCAAGGCGGGUGGACUGCCUGAGCUCAGGAGUUCAAAACCAGUCUGGCUAACAUGGCAAAACCCCCAUCUCUACAAAAAAUAAAAAAUAAAAUAAAAGCUCUAAACUCUUUUGAUUUUCCCAUUUGAAUCACCUCCCUCCUCUUCUAGACUGGACUAGAGGACAGGUCCCUAUCAGAAUACAGAGGGUUAUAGGCACCAUCUCCAAGCCCAGGUUUGGGCAUUCCACCUGGGUUCCAGAAGCCUAAAACUGGCUAAGGACUUCCUCCUAGAUUUGGACCAAUUUUAGUUAAUAUUUAUUGAGCACCUACUAUGUGAAAGGCAUACUACUCACAGCAGCCACUUGAGCUAACUAAGUGUUUUCAUCAUUUUGCCUAUGAUCAACUAACCUAAUGAUCUUCAGACUCCAAGUCCUUGGGCCUGUACCCUGCAACCUGCUGCAGGUGAGUAAGAGGGAAAGAUCCUAUCCAGUGGAUCUCCUUUAUCUGACUGUAAGCAACCCAAGGCCUAGGAGAGUGCCUUGUUCAUUUUGGCAUCUCCAGUGCCUAGCAUGGGACUGGACACAUAUUAAGCAUUCACUGUAAACAUGACUAAAAAAAGGCUCUUAUAAUAUGUGAAUGAAAGAAAGCAAUUGUAGGGGAAGGGCAGGGAGAGGAGGGAGGAGAUGCAGCCUGGAGAAGGGUCUACCUAAGUGUCCAGUUCUACUAUUUUUUUGUUUGUUUGUUUGUUUGUUUUGAGAGGGAG